rnacentral:rRNA from 1 species
UACGGGGGGGGCAAGCGUUGUUCGGAAUUACUGGGCGUAAAGGGUUCGUAGGUGGCCAACUAAGUCAGACGUGAAAUCCCUCGGCUUAACCGGGGAACUGCGUCUGAUACUGGAUGGCUUGAGUUUGGGAGAGGGACGCGGAAUUCCAGGUGUAGCGGUGAAAUGCGUAGAUAUCUGGAGGAACACCGGUGGCGAAGGCGGCGUCCUGGACCAACACUGACACUGAUGAGCGAAAGCCAGGGGAGCAAACGGG